UUCUAUGGCGCACCGUGCAGGGCAGGCUUCGGCCUGGCCGGGUUCCUUGGUUUCCGGUUUGCGACCCCUGUACGGUGUGCCACCCAU
rnacentral:antisense_RNA from 2 species